rnacentral:rRNA from 1 species
AUUGAACGCUGGCGGCAGGCCUAACACAUGCAAGUCGAGCGGAUGAAGGGAGCUUGCUCCUGGAUUCAGCGGCGGACGGGUGAGUAAUGCCUAGGAAUCUGCCUGGUAGUGGGGGAUAACGUCCGGAAACGGGCGCUAAUACCGCAUACGUCCUGAGGGAGAAAGUGGGGGAUCUUUGGACCUCACGCUAUCAGAUGAGCCUAGGUCGGAUUAGCUAGUUGGUGGGGUAAAGGCCUACCAAGGCGACGAUCCGUAACUGGUCUGAGAGGAUGAUCAGUCACACUGGAACUGAGACACGGUCCAGACUCCUACGGGAGGCAGCAGUGGGGAAUAUUGGACAAUGGGCGAAAGCCUGAUCCAGCCAUGCCGCGUGUGUGAAGAAGGUCUUCGGAUUGUAAAGCACUUUAAGUUGGGAGGAAGGGCAGUAAGUUAAUACCUUGCUGUUUUGACGUUACCAACAGAAUAAGCACCGGCUAACUUCGU